rnacentral:rRNA from 1 species
AUUGAACGCUGGCGGAAUGCUUUACACAUGCAAGUCGAACGGCAGCACGGACUUCGGUCUGGUGGCGAGUGGCGAACGGGUGAGUAAUAUAUCGGAACGUGCCCAGUCGUGGGGGAUAACGUAGUGAAAAUUACGCUAAUACCGCAUACGAUCUAUGGAUGAACGCGGGGGAUCGCAAGACCUCGCGCGAUUGGAGCUGCCGAUAUCAGAGUAGGUAGUUGGUGGGGUAAAGGCUCACCAAGCCGACGAUCUGUAGCUGGUCUGAGAGGACGACCAGCCAUACUGGAACUGAGACACGGUCCAGACUCCUACGGGAGGCAGCAGUGGGGAAUUUUGGACAAUGGACGCAAGUCUGAUCCAGCCAUUCCGCAUGCAGGACGAAGGCCUUCGGGUUGUAAACUGCUUUUGUACAGAACGAAAAGGUCUCUAUUAAUACUAGGGGCUCAUGACGGUACUGUAAGAAUAAGCACCGGCUAACUACGUGCCAGCCGCCGCAGUAA